rnacentral:miRNA from 1 species
UAUAUAUAUAGAGAGAGAGAGAGAGAGAGAGAGAGAGAGAGAUGGUGAAGUGAAGCACAUCAUUGCUAAUUGCUAUAAUACCAUAUUAUUCUCUGGCAUGGGCCAUGAGCCACCAUAAUUCCAAAAAAGACGAGUCACAUGUCACCACAUCCCCUCUAUAUGUUCUCAUAAUUCCAAAAAUCCAAAAUAUCCCCUCGGUUAAUUCUCUCUCUCUCUCUCUCUCUCUCUCUCUCUCUCUCUCAUCAUCAAUUA